UCCUAAUAAGCGUCUUUACCGAGCUCUUGGUAAUGACGCGUCCUACAAAAAUUAUACCGGAUUAUUACCGUAUCAAUACCAACCGGAUAACAUUCUUUACCAUAAUUUUAAUCAAGUGCACUACAAGUUGUGGUGCUGACGAGAUCUACAUUUUGGUGUGGUUUAUUACCAUAGUGCUCAACUCAAGUCAAAAUGGCGAAAUUAAUCCUAUUCUGCCCGUGGAAGAAAGUGAUAAAAACUUCUGGAAAUUAUAUAGAAUUUUUGGAAACAGGUAAG